GAUGAACGCUGGCGGCGUGCCUAACACAUGCAAGUCGAGCGAGAAUUCUUUACUUGAUUCUUCGGAUGAUUUUAAAGAAGGAAAGCGGCGGACGGGUGAGUAACGCGUAGGCAACCUGCCCUUUGCAGAGGGAUAGCCUCGGGAAACCGGGAUUAAAACCUCAUAAUGCGACUGAAAGACAUCUUCCGGUCGCCAAAGAUUUAUCGGCAAAGGAUGGGCCUGCGUCUGAUUAGCUAGUUGGUGGGGUAACGGCUCACCAAGGCGACGAUCAGUAGCCGACCUGAGAGGGUGAUCGGCCACAUUGGAACUGAGACACGGUCCAAACCCCUACGGGAGGCAGCGGUGGGGAAUAUUGCACAAUGGGGGAAACCCUGAUGCAGCAACGCCGCGUGAACGAUGAAGGUCUUCGGAUCGUAAAGUUCUGUCCUUGGGGAAGAAUACAUGACGGUACCCUUGGAGGAAGCCCCGGCUAACUACGUGCCAGCAGCCGCAGUAAGAC
rnacentral:rRNA from 1 species